rnacentral:rRNA from 1 species
AUGAACGCUGGCGGCGUGCCUAAUAUAUGCAAGUCGAGCGAACAGAUGAGGAGCUUGCUCCUCUGACGUUAGCGGCGGACGGGUGAGUAACACGUGGAUAACCUACCUAUAAGACUGGGAUAACUUCGGGAAACCGGAGCUAAUACCGGAUAAUAUAUUGAACCGCAUGGUUCAAUAGUGAAAGACGGUUUUGCUGUCACUUAUAGAUGGAUCCGCGCCGCAUUAGCUAGUUGGUAAGGUAACGGCUUACCAAGGCAACGAUGCGUAGCCGACCUGAGAGGGUGAUCGGCCACACUGGAACUGAGACACGGUCCAGACUCCUACGGGAGGCAGCAGUAGGGAAUCUUCCGCAAUGGGCGAAAGCCUGACGGAGCAACGCCGCGUGAGUGAUGAAGGUCUUCGGAUCGUAAAACUCUGUUAUUAGGGAAGAACAAAUGUGUAAGUAACUAUGCACGUCUUGACGGUACCUAAUCAGAAAGCCACGGCUAACUACGUG